AGCAAAGUUUCUGGCACAAAUCUGGCUUACAUUGGGCAUUUAUGGCUAAAUUUAGGCUCUCUUUUGUUCACACCUUUGUGUGAAACAGCUUUCGGGGGAGUUGUGGGGUGAGGCUAGCCAGCCAAAAGCAAAAGGUACAUUUUUGGCUGAGUCCUGGCUUAAGUGUGGUCUGCCAGAAAAUAGUCAAUAUAUGGCAGAGUUCUGGCUAAGGUUUGGUUGGCCAAAGAGUAAAAAAAACACCAAAUAAAAUCAUUUACAAUUGAUAAAAACAUCAAAGUUAAUAUUUAAGGCAAUAAUAAAUAUGUUUAUCCUUAUUAAAAGACGAAAUGUAGAAAAUGUUAUUUUGGGCAGUUAAUCCAAAGGUGUCAAUGUGCAAUAUACAAACAAUGCAAUAAACAGAUAAAUUAAUAAUUCAGUCUGCACUAAUAUAAAUCAAACAAAAGUAUUUUAAGUAUGUGUGCUUGUUUAAGUCUUUUUAGUUUUGUAUUUUAUUUUUUAUAAAUAAAUAAGACUUUACAUUAAAUUGUGUUUACAAUUAAAAAAUACGACUAACUAAUACUAAUAUUUAUUGGUGCACUUUCGUUUCUAAAACAAUGACAUAUAUUGCAAUGGAUCUUGGAAAUAGUAGUCAUUUAACCUCAACAGCGUUCAAUCCGCCGUGGAAAAUGAACUACCUUUCCCAUAAUGCAACUGGUCAUGAUCAGGAACUUCCGCGAAAUUCAAACCCCCACUGUGUACUGGACGAAGGACACGCGAUCUUUUGUCUUGUGGAGUUUUAUAUAACACAGUAAGUAAGAGACGCAACAUGCAUGACGGGGAUGAUAAAAUAAUCAAUAAGAAGUUUGAAUCUUUAAAUGAAUGCUGAACCCCAAAGAAGCCAAACGAAGAUUAGAUGUUUUCUGUACUAAACCACAAAUCAGCAUUUGCUGGUAAUCAUAACAGUUACAAAGUGACUCAUUCAUUCCAACUAUUUAUAUCUUAGUAAAACAAUGUUUUUGAUAUUCUAGAAAGGCAUGUAUUCAAGUUUUAGCUUAAUAAAGAUGGUUUACUAUGAUCUCUUAUUCUCUUCAGUCCUGGUCAGUGCAGUUCACAAGAUUGUGUUGUUAAAAGGCCAGAUUUAUUUGCUUUAUUUUAUGGUGUAACAUAACCAACCCCACUUGAAGAAUAACCACAUGCUUUUGUAAAGAAUUUAAUAUGCAAGAGUCAUGCAUUUUGUAUGUGUUUGUUUUAAUCUUUUAUUUUACAGUAUAAAGUUUAAUUAUAUUUGCAUUUUGUUUGCAGAAGUCAUGUACCACACUUUGUCAACAAUAAAUGUUGUUUCUGCAAUCUGGAUAAAGAAUAAUAUAUUACUGCCUCUUGGGAAAACAGCAGACUGUACUCCAGACAGAGACAAAGACAUGAGGACAUCCAUUGCUUUUAAGUCCUAUACCAGACUAUGUUGUUCCAGCUGUCUGGGUAAAGACUGAUACAUUACUGCCUCUUGGAGAACAGCAAACCAUUCUCCAGACAGAGACAAAGACAUGGACAUCAAAACAGAAAAUUAAGUACUUGAUCUUGGAUUGUUUGGAGUGAACGCUGGAAAAUAAUGAAGCAGGAAAUUGACUAAAACAAUUUUUGUACUUGGCUGUAAGAAGUCCUUUGUGUGCACAGACAUGACUGGAGAUUAAAGUUACUAAAUGUUGCGCUUUUUCUAGCUGGUGACAUAACAUGGUAUUAUUUUCAAAUGUAUUUAUCUAAUACACAUUUGCACAUCUGUAAACAUUCAUUUUAUAUAGGAUGUUUUUUAUAUUUAACCAGUUGUUGUAUAUUGCUUUCUGUUAUUACAUCUGUUUUUUUUUUGCCUGUUUAUUGUUUAAAACAAUUAAGUUAAUGUUUCUCUGUUAGCUUUUAUGUUACUUUGGCUAUUUCUUUGCUUUUAUUUGAUCCUUCUACUGUUAUUUGUUUAUUUGGCAGAACAUUUGACAUUUCAUUUAUUUUGCUGUUAUCUGAAAUUAUCCUUGUCACCAUCAAUAAAACUCUAUAUUUGCUUUA